GGAGGUAAAGUUUUGAAAGGAACUCUAAGGAGACACUUAAGAGCUUAGAGAAAACACAGAUCUACAACGGAUCUAAAAUAAUCAGAAGAACCUCAAAGGUUAGAGUUUCAGAAGAACCCAGGUGGUGUGAAGGCUUGGAAAGUCUUUUAUCUGAGCCGGAGAAGUCGAUAUGGGGCUUGAACAGCCAUGGAUGGCCAGAGCAAGGUCAAAGACAACUGUAAAACUCGAAUGAAACAAAGUAUGGGCCAAGUUUCUUAAGGUGUGACCUUGAGACCAUAGUAAUUAUGCGUGUAGGAGUCGUAGGAAGCAAGUACAUGCUCUUAAUGGUUUUGGAAGCCAUGGAUACGAGCAACUUUAGGGUGGAGGUGGAAGGAGGCGACUAGGGUUUUUGAGGAAGCUUGAGAGAGAAUUUGGGAGAAGGGGGAAUUCAAGGGUGGC
rnacentral:lncRNA from 1 species